AGCACCAUCUCACACACACUCUACGCAGGGAAGCCGAUGAAUAUAAGUGAGUGUUCCGAAAAAGAAAAAAAAAGAGAAAAAAAUAAAGGAAUGCACCUUCUAAGUUUGGUGACCCUCACCCGGUCACUUAACCCAACGGUUGUAGAACCUUCAAAAAAAAAAGUUUUUGACUCGUUGUUAGUUGGUUCAAUGGUUUCUGGUGCUGAACUUGGUAGGGCGAAUUACGGUCCGAUCCCCCGCAACUACAAGUGAGUAAGUAAAGGGUUAUGCCACUUAAGUACCAGAACCCCGUGCAGAA
rnacentral:lncRNA from 1 species